rnacentral:rRNA from 1 species
GAAUGACGCUGGCGGCGUGCUAUACAUGCAGUCGAGCGAACAGACGAGGAGCUUGCUCCUCUGACGUUAGCGGCGGACGGGUGAGUAACACGUGGAUAACCUACCUAUAAGACUGGGAUAACUUCGGGAAACCGGAGCUAAUACCGGAUAAUAUAUUGAACCGCAUGGUUCAAUAGUGAAAGACGGUUUUGCUGUCACUUAUAGAUGGAUCCGCGCCGCAUUAGCUAGUUGGUAAGGUAACGGCUUACCAAGGCAACGAUGCGUAGCCGACCUGAGAGGGUGAUCGGCCACACUGGAACUGAGACACGGUCCAGACUCCUACGGGAGGCAGCAGUAGGGAAUCUUCCGCAAUGGGCGAAAGCCUGACGGAGCAACGCCGCGUGAGUGAUGAAGGUCUUCGGAUCGUAAAACUCUGUUAUUAGGGAAGAACAAAUGUGUAAGUAACUAUGCACGUCUUGACGGUACCUAAUCAGAAAGCCACGGCUAACUACGUGCCAGCAGCCGCGGUAAUACGUAGGUGGCAAGCGUUAUCCGGAAUUAUUGGGCGUAAAGCGCGCGUAGGCGGUUUUUUAAGUCUGAUGUGAAAGCCCACGGCUCAAC